AUGGGUUAUGAGAUAAAGUUUGUGUUGAAGAGGCUUAUCAGAUUUACAAACCCAGAAACGCACAGAGACAUUACUUCCUACUUCUUUCGUUCUCCCAUUUCCGGAGCACCCAACACCUCUCCGUUCAACUGCCACGACCACUGUACCAUCACCCACAUACUCUUUCCGACCACACACGGUACCACGAUACCACUAUACCCAGCUUUCAUACUCCUCCAGAGACACCCUCAACAACCAUCGGUCACGCGACCCAUCAUCUCCCGUAUUCCUUCACCACACCCUCUAUUCCCUCUGUCAAAACCCAACCUCACAGCUUUUCUGAAAACCACUCCGCCGUAUACUUCACCACCGGCCAACUUCCCAUUCCGCCUUCACAAAAUAACCUCCGCCUCCUUCCUACGUACUUCACAGACCCUUCACCAUUCAUCCUCACCAUCAUCUCAGCGUCUCACCAAACCCUUUCCUUUUAACAACAACCCAGCUUCAGCUAAGCUCACUUCUGCACUACCAGGCCUCUGUUGCAACACCCUCUGUUUCUGCUCAUCUUCACCACGCAACAAUGUUUAUGUUCGAAUGUGA
rnacentral:lncRNA from 1 species